rnacentral:rRNA from 1 species
UACGGGGGGGGUAAGCGUUGUUCGGAAUUACUGGGCGUAAAGGGCUCGUAGGCGGCCAACUAAGUCGGACGUGAAAUCCCUCAGCUUAACUGGGGAACUGCGUCCGAUACUGGAUGGCUUGGAUUUGGGAGAGGGAUGCGGAAUUCCAGGUGUAGCGGUGAAAUGCGUAGAUAUCGGAAGGAACACCAGUGGCGAAGGCGGCUUCCUGGACUAAUACUGACGCUGAGGUGCGAAAGCGUGGGGAGCAAACAGG